rnacentral:ncRNA from 1 species
CCUGUUUCAGCACAGGUCGGGAUGUGAACCGGGAGGGUGAGAUCGAAGAUCUCGCAGCCCUCCACGAGAUUUCCAAUCUCGCCGGGGCCUUCGACCCCGCAUGGUUUGAACCACGCA